rnacentral:rRNA from 1 species
UACGUAGGGGGCAAGCGUUAUCCGGAAUUACUGGGUGUAAAGGGAGCGUAGGCGGCAAGGUAAGUAAGAUGUGAAAGCCCGCAGCUUAACUGCGAGGAUUGCAUUUUAAACUAUCUAGCUUGAGUACAGGAGAGGUAAGCGGAAUUCCUAGUGUAGCGGUGAAAUGCGUAGAUAUUAGGAAGAACACCAGUGGCGAAGGCGGCUUACUGGACUGUAACUGACGCUGAGGCUCGAAAGCGUGGGGAGCGAAC